UUCUAUUUUCAAUUGAUUCUUCUUAAAACAAAAUGCCAUGUGUCUAUUCAAAGUUGAAGUUCCAAAUUCGAAUCUUGCUUUUAAAAUUGUACUACAAUGCAUGCACUUUGCCUUUUGUUCUCCAUUUACCAUUAUUUUUAUAACGUGCUCCCAAGCUUCGGAGACUUUCUUCUUUUUUCCGGUUUCUUCCUUACUCUUCUUAUCAUUCACGGUUGACACUGAAAUUUC
rnacentral:lncRNA from 1 species